rnacentral:rRNA from 1 species
AUUAAACAUAUGUUAAAAAGUACAGGAGAUGGAAAGUUUCAAGUAAACCCUUAAAGGUUUUCAAGAUAAUUAUAUAAAUAAUAUUCUUCUUGGUUACGAUGCAAGUAAUCUCGGUAUGGGAGGAUUUUUUGUUGUCUUAAGACUUUUACUAAAAUAAUAAAUCAAUAUUGUUUUUAUAUCACUCAACAAACGUUGCUAUAUACUAAUCACCUUCCAUGUUAUCUAGACAAUAGUAUAAUUCUAAAAGGGUCAGCUUUUUAAGACUCUGUACUCUUACCAUAUUUAAAUGCUUUGUUAGAUUUAUUUAAAAUAUUAGGGUAUGUAGUUUACUAUUUCAAUUUUAAAAGCAUACGCUUGCAAUUAUUACAUAUAAAGUAUAAAUUUAAUGAAACAACUCAAUAAAAUUGUUAGGUGUUUACUAAAUACGCUCUUAUUAGAUACUUAUUAAUAAGUUGAUCUUUUAUACUAUUUUAUAACCUCAGCAAACUUUAUUUCUGCAUUCUGUAAUUUAUUACAAUUACCAUUAAUAAAGGUACCCUUUAUAAAUAAUUUUAUGUUUCUAUUAUCAAUAAGUGAAAAUUUAUUUUUCAGUUAAAAAUCUGAAAUAUUAAGAGAAGAAGAAAAGACCCCGGGUGGUUAAGUACUAUUGAUGUCUAAUAAUAUUUUAUUACAUCGAGGAUACUUUUUCUGGGGUGGGUACCUUUCUUUAUUUAGCAUAGGUUACUAGUUUUAACAAUAUAUUUGUAAAAAUUUAUCCAUAAUAGUACACUAAUUUUUACUUUAUGAAUUAUACCAAACUAACCCCGGGGUUAACAGCGCAAUCAUCAAUGACAGACCUUAUGCAAUUGGUGUUUUACGACCUCGAUGUCGACUUAAGGAAACUAGUUCUUGCAGUGAAGAAGCUAAGUACGUAUGUUCGCCGUUUAAAUCCUUACGUGAGUUGGGUUAAGGUCGGUGAGAAUUAGACCGGAUUUUAUCUCUCAGAAAUUUUUGUGUUAGUACGAAAGGAAAGC